UACAGAGGUCCCGAGCGUUGUUCGGAUUCACUGGGCGUAAAGGGUGCGUAGGUGGCAGGGUAAGUCGGAUGUGAAAGCUCGGAGCUCAACUCCGAAAUGGCAUUGGAAACUGCUGAUCUGGAGGAUCGGAGGGGGGACUGGAAUUCUUGGUGUAGCAGUGAAAUGCGUAGAUAUCAAGAGGAACACCAGUGGCGAAGGCGAGUCCCUGGACGAUACCUGACACUGAGGCACGAAAGCCAAGGGAGCAAACAGG
rnacentral:rRNA from 1 species